ACAAGAAACUACCAAAAGAGAACAAUGUGAAGGGCUGGGUGGAAGUUGGUUCUUCAAUGAAAUCUCACAAAUUCCAGUGUUUCUAGUACUUCUUACCAACACUUACUUGUAUUCACCCUAAUUAGCUCAUGUGAAAAGGAUCUUCCUGUAUUUCUAACAAGUGUAAUUUGGAGAGUAGAUAGAUCUCAGGUGAGGACUUUGGAGCAUGCCAAAUGAAUUAAUGGACUCAGUCCAUUUUCUAACUUAACAUCACUCGCUUACUUAGCAAUACGUGACGUUGGUGAGAAGAACCAGCAGAGGACACAGGAAGUAGAAGAUGAGCUCACUUCUGUCCAUGAUUUAUAUUGCAUUUCAGUUUAUGUUGUCAUUGGAGACUCAGUUUGUGAAGGUAAGCCAAUCUUUGCCUUGAGGAAGAUAUACAUCUUUAGGGGAAGAUGGGUCUUACUAGAUGAAAAGAUAAUAAAUGAAAAGAGGGAGAAGGGAAUGCAUGGUGGCCCCGACAAACCAGAGAAGACAAUUACAUGAACAUGGACGUCAACCACCAAAUGUUGUACAGGUCAAAAAGGAAAAGCAAAGGACUGGAGACCAAGCAGAAGGGCUCACACCCCUACCAGCUACUCAGGAAGAUGAGGCCGGAGGAUCUUUUGAGCCCAACAGUUUGAGACCAACCUGGGCAACAGAGUGAGACCCCUGUCUCAAAAAAAAAAAAAAGAGAGAGAGAGAGACUGGGAAGUAGAAGCUGAGAUGAUAUGAGGGUCACCUGUGGCUUGGACAGGAUUAAUGCAGGGACCAUUGGAGAUCAGAGACAAACUGGAGAAGGUUGCACUGAAGAAGCAGAGAUCAUGAAUGCAGAAAGCUUGAGAAGUUUUUCCAAUCAGGAAAGCCAAGACAUGGGUCUGUCACUACAGGUCAAAACGGAGCUUGCAGGGAGUCAUGCAAAAGUAUUUGUCUCUUUUGAAGUUUGCUGUGACAUGAGGGAUUCAAAGAGAGUUGACAGAGGAGGGGAAGCUUUUAAACUCCAGAUGAUGAAAGAGCUCAGAAAGGAAUCUUAACUUUCUUCCAAAGGGGAUGAGAUGGACAGAGUUUAAAUUUCUCUUUCAAAAAAUGAUGCCUUCGAGGGAACAGUAAGAGGAGAGCAGGCUAAGAGGCCAGCCAGGUGGACGAAAAGCAUGUUUUUUUCACUUAAAUUUGUGCAGUCCUGCAAAUGUAACACAGCCAGAUAAUUCCAGAGCUCCUGGGUCACCGUUCCCUCUAUCUUCUCAGACCCCACUCAGCAGAAGAGAUGUUUGUUUAUGGCCCCG
rnacentral:lncRNA from 10 species